GUUCAGUGGUCGAAGAACGUACACUGUAGAUCUAGUGCAGACCAUACACGUACACAGAUAUUUCCGCCACAUGUGCGAUAAUCGUACACCUAGGGGCGCGAUCGAAUUUUCACUCUUUGACUUUUCAAGAAGUUCUAAAGGUUCAGCGAGUAACGUCCACAGCAGGAAUUACAUUCUGUCGGAACUACUUUUGAAGUACUGAUGUCCGACGGUUGCCAAUUCGAGAGAUGGACUCGCGGCUCCAUUGCAGGCUAUAAUUUCGUAUUGUCAAUUUUGCUGUGAAUUUGCUGGUGAACAAAUAAUGUUUCAAGAUUUGAAAUUUGAAGAAAUGUUCGUGGAGGUAAAAAUUCAGGAUGAUGUUGUUCCUCGAUACACUAAGUGUUAUAGGUAUGCAGCUACUAGUCAUGAAGUUUCACGUCAUGAUAAUUAUCUCGUGCAUGCUGAAGGAGACGUUAGUAGUGCAGUAUAGCCAGAGACAUUCGCAAAGCAGCAGAUGGAACUUAGUAGAAGAUUUUCUCAGCGCCAGCGGGUAGAGAAAGUUGGGAGCAUCUAUAUCUUCCUGGAAAGUAGUAGGCAGUUGUAUACACAACAGCCAAUCGUCAAGUAGAGAGUUCUAUCAGCUAUGUCGCUAGUAUUCAUCCCUCAAUGACACGGUUCCAGUAGCUGUGAAAGUGACUUUGGUGAUGGCAACAAUAGUCAGCAUCAGAAUACGGGGAAACAACAAAAACACCCUAAAGCAAAGUACAGCAAAGAACUGCCAUGUAGAUACCAAACAUCAGCAAAGAAGGCGGUUUACAGACAGCGACAUCGGUGCAAUCUUGAGCAAAUACGGCCAAGUCAGAAUGCUGUCUGUCAUCCAACAAGCGUCUUCAGUCUUUGCUAUCAUGCUGGCUGUGAAGAAUGGUGUACAGUGUUGAUCGCUCAUCAUUCCCCGGUUUUGCCACGUGGUUUGGCGGAUUUCCAAUCAUCUUGCAGCAUCAGACACUAUGCUCUGCAGGUGGUCGGUUGGAUUCUCAGCGGUGUGUACAACGGAAUACAGUGUGAUCUUCAUCAUUACAUUUAUCAGAUACUGUAGGCACCUUGAAAGUGAAGGGGCAGACUUGGAACAAUCUCUGGAAAGGUACAGAAAUUUAAAUCCCUGCACACACGCAGUCCAGCAUGACAAUGUAGCCCUGCGGCCAUCGUUCGGGUUUUUUGUUAUUAUCUUAGCAAAUCACGUCUAGAUCUCUUGCUAAUCUCUUGAUAUCUUUCCAUACUAGUUUGGGUAGUGUCUUGUGUAUGUUCAUCUUGUCUAAAGCAUCUUCGAUUGAAGCAAGACAUGAGCAUUACCUCCUGGAUUGAUUGUGUCUCAUUUCUACUUAUGGAGUCCACACGUACGCGUGCGAGCGCACACACACACAAACACACACACACACACACAUACACACACACACACAACACACACACACACACACACACACACACACACACACACACACACACACACACAAGCACACACACACAAAUACACACAAUCACAAAAAAAACAUACACACACACAAACACACACACAUACACACACAAACACACACACACACAUACACACACACACACAUAUACACACACACACAUGCAAACAAACACACACACACACAAACUGUAUUGCUGUUGUUAUUGUUGAAUUUUACUUAAAGUCGAAGCACUAUGUCGUGAAAGUUAUGCUUCUUUCUUGGACGUUGCCCUAGUAAUCAGUCUCCUUUCAUCUGACUGACGCCCGUGUGUACGGUGGAAUAUGCUCUAUCGAGGAGUUUUGAUCUGACUGACGUCCGUGUGUACGGUGGAAUAUGCUCUAUCGAGGAGUUUUUAACUGAUCAGUCUUGAAAAAAUAAUGUUUAUUUUUAGCCGUGUUCCUGGGAUUAUGGUUUUGUUCGACUACGGUUUGGUAUAUUUGAUAUAGGACAUUUUCUGUGAGUACAGCAUCAAUGACACUGAUGGCCAAGUGGUUCGAAGCAUUGCCUUGUUCCAAGAGAAGUGGUUGUAGGUACGAGUCCUGGCUUGUGCUUCUUUUUUUGACCAGGUGAAA